rnacentral:tRNA from 2 species
GGAAAAAUAGUAUAAAUAAUACAUACUAUUAAGGCUUUACAGCUAAUAAUAGUAUAUUUGGAUGUAAUUUCCAAUUUUUCCA